rnacentral:rRNA from 1 species
CCUACGGGUGGCAGCAGUGAGGAAUAUUGGUCAAUGGACGAGAGUCUGAACCAGCCAAGUAGCGUGAAGGAUGACUGCCCUAUGGGUUGUAAACUUCUUUUAUAUGGGAAUAAAAUGUUCCACGUGUGGGAUUUUGUAUGUACCAUAUGAAUAAGGAUCGGCUAACUCCGUGCCAGCAGCCGCGGUAAUACGGAGGAUCCGAGCGUUAUCCGGAUUUAUUGGGUUUAAAGGGAGCGUAGGUGGAUUGUUAAGUCAGUUGUGAAAGUUUGCGGCUCAAACGUAAAAUUGCAGUUGAAACUGGCAGUCUUGAGUACAGUAGAGGUGGGAGGAAUUCGUGGUGUAGCGGUGAAAUGCUUAGAGAUCACGAAGAACUCCGAUUGCGAAGGCAGUUCACUGGACUGCAACUGACACUGAGGCUCGAAAGUGUGGGUAUCAAACAGGAUUAGAGACCCCUGUAGUC